UCACUUCCUCACAAAUGCAUUAAAAAAAAACCCAAAGGUUCUGUGACUUGAACGUACAAUUCCAGCUCAUUUCAACAGUAACUGUACUUUUUUCUUUUCAAUUGGCAACGGAUUUUUGCUUACCUUCUCUUGGAAUUUUGGGAUUUGAAUCUUCAAUUUUUGAACGGUCAUACUUCAUUUAGGUUCAAUAAAUAGAAACCCUUCUCUUCAUUUUAAAGAAGUUCAGAGACCACAAAAAUGGUUUCUACACCAUCAAUGGGUUUUUUUUUUUUACAACCCCAAGAGUUUAGAACAUUCAGAAACCCGGCUAAGCCAUUGAGUUUCGAGGAAGUUCUCGGUCAUGUUUAAUUUUUGGAAGUUGUUUCCAUUCGUCGAAAAUCGAUUCGGGUGAAAGGUAGCUCGUCGACUCCUGUCACCCCCGUUGUUGCUCUAAGAGAGUGCAGAUUGUGAUGUAGAGACUGCUACUAGACCUCAUAUUUAGCUUGAGGCCAUUUGCUGACAGAUUGAGGGUGAGCUUCUACCCGUGCCAGGCCGCCGGAAGAUCUUACUUUAUUUAAUGUCUAUUUCCAUUCCAGACAUUGAUGUUUAUUUAUUUCAGACAGUAUGGAUUCCUUAGACAUGUUUUGGAUUAGAGUCCUUAUACGGUGACUUGAAUUUUGGGGUUGUAAUAGUUAGGACUUCCGCAUUUACAUUAUUGUUUUAUGGCAUGACCACUUUUGACUUAAUCUUGCGUUUAAUUUAUUGUGAACUGAAUGCAUAGACUAAGUAAAAAUGGACUUUGAAUGAGUAGAUGAUUGAGCAUAUUAGUUUGCCCACUAAGAGUUAGUGUGGGUGCCAGUCAUGGCGGGUUAGGUCGUGACACAAAGGUGUUAAUUGAUAAGCCACAUGCUAACAUGAACAUGAUUAACAUUUUAACCAACUGUUCUUUUAUUUUUCACCUUAAUCAGUCACUAGAUGUAAUUACUUCUUAACUAGAACACUCUUUGCUUUAUUCCUCUUUCAAUUGCGCCCUCUAGGUAUUGUAUAGAUAAGAGUGUAUUGUUGUGUUUGUCUGCUUGAUUGGAAUAGUUAUGAGGUUCCAACACUUCUACACCAGAUCUGGAAAGGAUAAAAGCGUGUCUACAGUGAGACGUGAUUUGUUUUAUAGUAAAUAUCCAUGACAGUGAUUUGUGUGUUUUAUAAUUUUUGGAAUCUGGUUACUCCCUUUUUUACUGGAAUUACCUAUCAAUGUUAAAAUAUGAACUUAUUUCUAGUGUUGCAUUUUCCUUUCAACUCUGUCUUGGAUGUUAGUUCGAUGGAAGCAUGUUUUUAUUUCAAAUUCUAUAUGUCCCAGCAUUUUUUAUUGAAUUCAGGAAGGAUUAGGGAAGUUCUUCAAAGAUAAAAUCAUGUCUUUUGUCUAGGUUUCCUUUUACACUAUGUGGAUGUAAUCUUAUCAUGUUUAGCCUUUUUUUAUUAUGCCUUCAAUCGGUUCUACUAUGGAUCUUUUCACUGUCUUUUCCUUUUCAAAGCACUCCAUGUCUAUUCAGAUGGCUUUAAUUUUAUUAGAUUAAUCCAUAUAGGGUAUGGGGUUUAAUUUUCUUAUGAAGAGCCUCUGUGUGAUUGUGCUAUUUGUAUAAGAAUGAAUAAUAUCUCUGGAGCAUAAGCAAAGGGCUUAAAGGAUUUCCCUGUUUUCUCAUUGAAAUGUUGGUCUGAAUUGGAGUUAACCUUGAUUUCUGGUUUAGCAGUUUAACUACUCAAGUUUACAGUAGUUGUUUAUUGAAGUACAAUACUUUCUUCCUCCCAAACUAUAUUUGAAUGCUAAUAUGUUGUCUUGGUUAUGGUCUUUGUAAAAGAUACUGAUUUUAUUUGAACUUGAUUUUCAGCUCUUAUUAUGGAUAAAAAUGUGUUGAGAAGCUUGAGCAUCAGUUAAUUUAGUAGUCUUCUUUCCUUUUUCUGUUCUUCUGUGGUUGUUUUUUUUUUUUUUCUCUGUUAAAGACUGGAUUAGCCACUAGUAAAUCAUGAGAAAAUUAUAAGUAUGUUGCUUUCAUUUUGACAUCAUUUAGGUCCACCUAAAUUUUAAGGUCAAAUGCAACUAGCCAUUAAAUCUGAAUGUGUUAGCUGCUGGAGGUAUAUUUUCUAUUUACUUUUGUCAAAAGAAACAGAUCAGUAGCUUAAGGGGAUUUUUAGGACCAAGUCACAACUCUCUUUGAAACAGUAAUGAUUACCUCUUGUUUUAACUAAAUUUGCUAGUCUGUUUUUUUUUUUUUAAAAAGAUGCCUUGUUUGAUUAAAGGACAUUUAAAGAUUAAGUAGUUGAAACACCUUUUGAAUUCACUUCUCUCGAAGGCAUACUGAGUUGGGUUGGUGUUUUCUAUUGCUGGCAACUAUUCCUACAUGAUUGGCUGCCAAACAUUUUCUUAAGUUAAGUUCUUUCCUGAUUCUUAGCAUCAAAGGCUUAUAUCUUUGGUAACUUUGUGAAAUCUGGAUAGUUUUGUAUGACAUGAAACUGUUGUAUAUGUUCACUUGUUUUAUGACUCUAUAUCCUGAUUCUUGCUUGAUAAACUUGGCUAAGUUGUGAUAAUACCACAACCAUAUGAAAUGCUUCAUCAUUUCUUGGCUUGACACUUAUUCUUUACCCUUCCUUUUCUUUGCAUGACUUGGGGAAAUUUCCCAAUCUCAAAUGUUCAUGAGUUGCUGCUGAAUCUGGAGGCUCUCAAAGUGUUGUGCUUGGAUAAGUUGCUACUACUGUUUUGCAUAUGUAACAUCUUUUAGGGAUGGAAGAGGCCAUGUUUUUUAGGUCAUUUGAGUUGCUAUGGUGGUGAAAAUAGUUACUGUAUUUUGGUCGAUUGGUUGCUGCAUUUUGAGUGAAUUUGCUGGUGCCAUUUGGUUUACAGUUGCUGCAUUAUUAGCAAAACUGCUAGAUUUUUGGCCAAAACACCUUGCAUUUUUAGUCUGAAAUGAGUUGUAUUUGCAAGGCACUUUCUGGCCGAAUUGUGCUGUCUUUAAGGCUUUAAAUCUAAAGUUAUUUGGUUGAUGUUUAGUUGUCAUUUAAGCUGAAUAACUGAGCUACUUUGAGACAGUAUUAAGGGCAAUUGCUGCUACCAUUUAAAGGAUAAGCUGUUUGCUGCUCUGCCACAUUUCUAGCAGUUGGGAAUAGCUGCUACACUUGUAGUUGCAGCACUUUUAGGGUUACUUCGAGCUGUUAGCUAUGCUACUCGAAGCUGCUUUGCUUUGAGAUAAUACUCUGUGAAGAAAUUGCUAUUACACACAAUAGCAGAACUUUGAAUAAUUUUUCAUCUUUGGGAAAAACAAAUCCUAUAUUGGUGAUAGAUUUCAAACAGAUGCUACACUUGAGAAAAGAGAUGUAGCAGUAACUAUAUUUUGAUACACUAUUUAUUUCUGGCUAGGAGCAGAUUUUUGUACUUGUGGUUUUUUUUUUUUUUUACUGCUUUGAACAGAUACUACACUUGGGCCAAUGAAAAAAUAAUUUUUGAGGCCAUGCCUAGCCCGAAAAGGUUAUCCCUCGGCUUAGGCAGUGAUGAUCUCAUAGUUAUAUAAUGAGGUAGGAACCAACAUAUGCUUGGCAAGGCAACUAGAAUGUCCACUAGUUUGUAGCCGCAACAUGAUUCGGGUUCCUUUGCCAUAUUCGAAAGCGUGACUCUGAGCCUCCGUAAUCAAAGCUCUCAAAGUUUGAUACGAGUCCGCGGGAUAUUAUUUAUGUUCCUAAACGUCAGCUUACAGGGUGGCGUAUCAUUUUGACUAACUACUUUCCAUUUCAUUGUGCGAGGUACCAAUUAAAUAAGCACAGAAAGCAAAGCUUAAGGACGAAAUAAAAGGAUCGGAUGCUAGCUUCGAACGAA